rfam:Gossypium hirsutum cultivar TM-1 unplaced genomic scaffold scaffold1271.1, whole genome shotgun sequence
UAUUAAAAAUUUCAUCCAUUUCUAUCAUUAAAAACUGGUUUGGUUGACAAAAUAACCAAAACAGCCGCAUGUACCUUAUUUUGAUAUACAAGUACCGGUUUUUAACCAUAGAAAUGGAUGGAUUUUUUAACA